rnacentral:rRNA from 1 species
AGGACGAACGCUUGCGGCGUGCCUAAGAAAUGCAAGUCGAACGGGAGGCUUCGGUCUCCAGUGGCGAACGGUCGCGUAACACGUAGGCAACCUGCCCUAAAGUGGGGGACAACAAUCCGAAAGGAUUGCUAAUACCGCAUGUGGCCAACGAGAGGCAUCUCUUGUUGUCCAAAGCAGCGAUGCGCUUUAGGAUGGGCUUGCGGCCUAUCAGCUUGUUGAUGGGGUAACGCCUACCAAGGCGACGACGGGUAGCUGGUCUGAGAGGAUGGUCAGCCGGAUUGGGACUGAGAUACGGCCCAGACUCCUACGGGGGCAGCAAUUAGGAAUCUUGCACAAUGGGCGAAAGCCUGAUGCAGCGACGCCGCGUGAGGGAUGACGGCCUUCGGGUUGUAACCUCUUUAUCGGGGAGAAGAUGUGACGGUACCGAGGAAUAAGCCCGGCUAACUACGCGCCAGCAGCCGC